UACGUAGGGUGCAAGCGUUUAAUCGGAAUUACUGGGCGUAAAGCGUGCGCAGGCGGUAAUGUAAGACAGAUGUGAAAUCCCCGGGCUCAACCUGGGAACUGCAUUUGUGACUGCAUUGCUGGAGUGCGGCAGAGGGGGAUGGAAUUCCGCGUGUAGCAGUGAAAUGCGUAGAUAUGCGGAGGAACACCGAUGGCGAAGGCAAUCCCCUGGGCCUGCACUGACGCUCAUGCACGAAAGCGUGGGGAGCAAACAGG
rnacentral:rRNA from 1 species